CGAUAAUAUUUGUUUGGCCUUUUUCACGUAUACGAGUAGCCUCCCUUGAAGCUAGGUGCUCGUUGCCAGGCAAUAUUAUAGGUGGCGCCACUGUCAACAUGUGGAUGUGAAAACGAAAGUAGAUUAUUUAUCGUGGAAUAAUUACAAUUGUUUACCCUUCUACGUGGAAUUUAUAUGGUAAUGGUAUGAAUUGAGAUGAUUUAUUUAGUUACCUUCAACUGGUCAGUGGUCAACAAGAGAGUAUUACUGUGUGUCUUGAAACAUUGAAUGCCCCAAAACAACCAGUAUGAUAAGAAGGCCAGAAUAUACAGCUUCCCAAAAUGUUGAAAGACUAAGCUGUUUUUUCUAAGGACUUGUAUACUAUCUAAGUUGAAAUUAGCCAUGGACAAUGAAUUUGGAGGUGCAUGCUGGAGCAUCAGAAAUUACAGACUUGGAAUAGAUAUUUGCAUAAUAUACAAGUAACAUUUACUGAAAAAUGACUAAUGUUUAUGUUAAUA
rnacentral:lncRNA from 1 species